CUACGGGCCGCUCCAGUGGGGAAUAUUGCACAAUGGGCGCAAGCCUGAUGCAGCCAUGCCGCGUGUAUGAAGAAGGCCUUCGGGUUGUAAAGUACUUUCAGCGGGGAGGAAGGGAGUAAAGUUAAUACCUUUGCUCAUUGACGUUACCCGCAGAAGAAGCACCGGCCAACUCCGUGCCAGCAGCCGCGGUAAUACGGAGGGUGCAAGCGUUAAUCGGAAUUACUGGGCGUAAAGCGCACGCAGGCGGUUUGUUAAGUCAGAUGUGAAAUCCCCGGGCUCAACCUGGGAACUGCAUCUGAUACUGGCAAGCUUGAGUCUCGUAGAGGGGGGUAGAAUUCCAGGUGUAGCGGUGAAAUGCGUAGAGAUCUGGAGGAAUACCGGUGGCGAAGGCGGCCCCCUGGGCGAAGACUGACGCUCAGGUGCGAAAGCGUGGGGAGCAAACAGGAUUAGAUACCCUCGUAGUC
rnacentral:rRNA from 1 species